GCGAUUAUGAACUGCAGCAGUCAUCCAGUCAUAUCUCUAGGUUGUGAAAAUACCGAACUGUACAAAUCAGCACCCCCUUGUCUCCUGCAUCUGGAAAGCACAUUCCAGGUCCGAGCAGGUAGCACAGGCCCCGGAGGCUGUAAGACCUGAGCCCACACUGAUAAGGACUGUGCUGCCCGGCCCAGGAAGCAGCAGGAAGGAUGCUGGGUGCUCAUGCCACGUGAAACCGACAACUUCCUGUGCCGUUAUGACUGACCUAGAUCAAGCGGGGAUGUAGGCCCGCUGUGUACUUUCUCGAACAAUGUAGUUUCUUUUUCUCUUGGUGAUGUGUAAA
rnacentral:lncRNA from 1 species